AAUUUUACACUUUCUACGUUUUCUCCAGAAUUAUACUGAUGAGAAAUGGUCAAUGUAAUCGCACAGCUAAGUGCUAAGAUGGAGGCGCCAUAUGGUGAGUACGCAGGUUACCAUCUUCUUUCCUUGUUGCUGAUGAGAGAGAGCCUUAAGAGAGGCUGAGAGAUUAUGGGCAGCGUUGUGCAUGAUGAGGGCAUGUGAGUCACACAUUGUCGAUCUGGGGAGCCUUAUUCCCACCCCACCCCAGUCUCUAAACGCUUUAACCACGCGGUGUGUUUCAUUGUAACGUGCUUCCCCUCAGGUUAUUGUGUCAUCUUCAGUCAGAAGUUAGCCUUCCUAAAAAAAAGCAAACAACCUCUCUCUCUUUUCGAUUAUGUGUGUGAGCAAAAGUUUUCAGGCUGAAAUGUCCUGAUUCAAACGGCUGGCCUGGGAGAGCCUUUAACGUGCAAAUCGGAAAAGGAGGCUCUUUCCUCGUUCUUUGUGCAGUCUGAUGCGUGAGAGAGAAAUGAGGUUUCCAAGGGAAGAGUUGAAAUUGAUACUAAACAGAAGGACUUGACCCAGAUCCAUUGCUCACAAAGCUUUGCAAAGUGGCUAAACAUAGUAACGCCAAGAGAUAUUUUAGUUGACGCAAGUUUAGUCCAUGAAUGGGAGGCAGCUGGUUUUUUGUAGGGAUCUAGUGAGAUAGCUCUAAGACUCCUUUGUAAGUUCUGUCAGCAUAAAGGUAGAAACCUUUCAGUAGAUAUCUUCAGUUAAGGAUACUUUCUGGAGGGGCAUGAAGUGUUCUCAGGGCCUCGGGUCAAAGUCCCCACCCUCCCAAAUCGAAUUUUGCAGAACCGAGUUGGCGAUCCCCAUAUUUGUAUGCAUGGAAAAUAUGUUUAGUGGUGGUAAAAUAUAAACACCCAUCUAUGGAUCAGUCAUAUAUCCAUGAGCUAGAGGGGUUUGUUUCAAAUAUAACAUAUGCAUAAUAGUCUCUCAGCAUAUUUUCCUAUGCCUGCAGACACCAUCCUGUGUUUGCAGCUCAUACCAGACCAUAAUCUAGGUGAAGAUCCCUUUUAUCAGAUGGAUUGAAACUGGUCUUAAAAAUACGGUUUGGGGUGUGAGGAAUUCAAAUCUGAUAUUAUUUUUGUAGCUGGACAGCAUUUAGCUUGGAAAGUCUAGGUUUGAUGAAGAAGCGCAUAAGCUACUUUCGGAAAACAAAGAAUUUUAGUUUUACCUUCUGAAAAUGUCAGGUACUGCUAAAGAACUAAGGAAAUAAAAUCUAAUACAACUGUGAGUACUUCACAAUACUUUUUAAUGGUUUCUAUGCAAUUUUAGUCAAAUUUUAAUAUAACUAAACUACAUUAAUUUAACCAAAUUAUCUUUUGAAUUCCCAAGUCAUGCUACAACUUUUUAGCACCCCUCAUUUGGGGAAUUUGAAAAAUUCAACACACCCAAAUGAGCAGUUGGUUCAUUGGGUCAUGAAACUUGAGGGCCUGAGAAACUAAGCCUCUGACGCCUGGCCAGGCUACCCCUAACAUAGAAUAUCUCUUAAGGGAAAGUGCAGAAAAAAACUCUAGGUAUUUCAGAAUUGACUCCUGCAUGUUUUCCCCACAGAUGCACACUUUUCUUUAUUUCCAGGCUUGAGUAUAGAAACGCUUCAACUACAGAGCACCCAGAGUAGUGACCUUAACAUAAGAUCAAUGAAAAUAAAAUAGUUACUGCUUACAAGUUUUACAAUCUAAAAGACACCACACAAAAGGAAAAAGGAUGAGGAGGGAAGAGGAAACAAGCAAACCCAGGCACUUAUUUUUAAGUUACACACUAGUUCUUAUAAUGACAAGCUGGUAAUGAUCUUUCCUUCAAGGAGGUCAAGGUAGUAUGCAUGAUUCUUUUCCCUCUCCUUUUUAAUUUCCACAGCAACUUUAUGAAGUAAAGCUACAGUGAUAGGAUUAAUGUCACCCAGCUUUGUGGGUAUGGAUUUGAUCCUGGGUCACCCCAAUUCCGGUCCAGCACUCUCCAGGACACCAUACUGGCUCCCAAAGUUUUAAAGAUCAUUUUCUGAGGAUUUAAGGGUGAUUGUUGUGAUGAGCUAAAAGAAAUAUACACAAGAUUCAACAUGGAUGGAGUGUUAUUUUGAAUUCACCAUAACAGUAGAGUAAGCAGACCACAGUUAAAGAAUCCAGACUUCCAGCUGCAGCCUGAGUUCUGUGCAAUGCAAAAAAAACCACCUUACUUCAAUAGGCAUUGCCUGAUCCAUAUUAAUUUGAUCGUGCUUUCCUGCAACAGCUGUGGUUUUUUUGUUUUGUUUUGUUAGCCAGCCCUCGCUUUCACUCAUGCUGCCAUAGGUUAAGCUGGUCAUCAUACGCAUGCUCAUUGCAUGCUUAAGAGCACAGAUUCAGUUUUGACACCAGAUUGCAACCACUUGGAAAAGCUACGGCUGCAGCCUAGCACCCAAAUCUGACUUCCACCAAAUUCAGAGGAUGGUAUCAGCAAUGACAUGUACACAACCAACUCAGUCUGGCGCAACGCAGGUGGAAGUUAGCAUAGGCAGAUUAAAAAGUCACACCUCCCAUGGGUUCAAAAGGUCAUGUCUGCUGUAGAUUGUCUGCUGUAGAUCUCAAGAGGUUUAUUACAGAGGUGUAGGGACUCAAAGACGUUAAAGGUUCUGGCAAACCUGCAGGCAAAGUCAUUCCCAGCAUUUUGUGAAUGCAUAUACAGUCAUACCUUGGGUUAAAGUAGCUUCAGGUUGAGCGUUUUCAGGUUGCGUUCUGCAGCGACCCGGAAGUAAUGGAACGGGUUACUUCCAGGUUUCGCAGCUCGCGCAUACGUUCAAAAUGAUGUCACGCGCAUGCGCAGAAGCGGCAAAUCGCAACCCGUGCAGACGCGGGUUGCGUUCUGCUCAGGAUGCGAACAGGGCUCCAGAAUGGAUCCCUUUCGCAUCCAGAGGUACCACUGUACUAUACAGAGAGACUUCCUGAUAUUUAGUGCUAUAAACCCCAUGUUCUGUUAAUGCAUAAGCAUUUUAUCUUCAGUUAUUCUUAGCUAUGACGAAAGCUUGCAUUGAUCACUCAGCAUAGGUUUGAAUUAUGAUUUUUUUAUUUGCAAUACUGCUUUAUUCAGCCUGUUAAGAUGCCUAUAAGGAGUCGGUCUUAUUUUAAACCACUCGGCUGAAUUUCAUUUAGGUGAGUUGAGUGGUUGGUUGGAAGAGCGAUGGAAUAUUCUGUCCAUCCUCUGCUACUCCACUGCUCUUAUAUGCUGGUUGGGAGAGAAAUUAGGUUUGGUUCACAUUUCUAUGGAGAUCUACCUAAUUUGCACGUCCCCAAACAAUAUGUGAACAGGAAUGCAUCUUUCCUUCAAAAUUCACACCUUUUUGAAUUUUUCAAUGCAGUUCUCCAACCAUAUGUUUACAAAAAUGCACGGAUUAAAGGAAACUGCAUAAAAGCACAUAU